rnacentral:snRNA from 1 species
GUGUUCACUUCAGCAGCACAUAUACUAAAAUUGAAACAAUACCAAGAAGAUUAGCGUGGCCCCUGAAUAAGGACGACAUGCAAAUUCAAGAAGCAUCCCAUAUUUUU